rnacentral:tRNA from 1 species
GGCCCUGUGGUGGAACUGGCAGACACGGCAGACUCAAAAUCUGCUCCGGGCAACCGGGUGGGGGUUCAAGUCCCUCCAGGGCCA